rnacentral:rRNA from 1 species
AGUGAACGCUGGCGGUAGGCCUAACACAUGCAAGUCGAACGGCAGCACAGUAAGAGCUUGCUCUUACGGGUGGCGAGUGGCGGACGGGUGAGGAAUACAUCGGAAUCUACUUUUUCGUGGGGGAUAACGUAGGGAAACUUACGCUAAUACCGCAUACGACCUACGGGUGAAAGCAGGGGAUCUUCGGACCUUGCGCGAUUGAAUGAGCCGAUGUCGGAUUAGCUAGUUGGCGGGGUAAAGGCCUACCAAGGCGACGAUCCGUAGCUGGUCUGAGAGGAUGAUCAGCCACACUGGAACUGAGACACGGUCCAGACUCCUACGGGAGGCAGCAGUGGGGAAUAUUGGACAAUGGGCGCAAGCCUGAUCCAGCCAUACCGCGUGGGUGAAGAAGGCCUUCGGGUUGUAAAGCCCUUUUGUUGGGAAAGAAGAGCAGCAGGUUAAUACCCCGCUGUUCUGACGGUACCCAAAGAAUAAGCACCGGCUAACUUCGUG